rnacentral:pre_miRNA from 1 species
GCCCCGCCUGCCCAGUGUUCAGACUACCUGUUCAGGAAGUAGUGGUUGCACAGUAGUCUGCACAUUGGUUAGGCUGGGUG